rnacentral:lncRNA from 1 species
AUAGAUAGAGCUAUUAAAACUUCUACCGUCCUCUACCAAUUACUGCCCAAGAAAUUCACUGCAACAUAACUGGGAGACACCAUCCCCCUCUUCCAUUCAACUCAACAUCUUUAACACCCUAUUUAAAAAGUCUCCACUAAUUGGGCUCACGAAAUACUAGCAGUUCCAAUUCUUCGUGUACCAUAAGCUACCACACAGGACCUAUUUUCCAUCCACAGCAAGUGCCUCCGUUAUCUUUCCUUUUGGGAUAUUUAUCCGUGUAUGAAUUUUGGCACACCUCUUACCCUUUCUCCAUUCCGUUCCUUAUCUACGCUAUACCGACCCUAGCCUUCAUCUCGGGGCUCCUCGAUUCCAACUUGCACCGAGCUCAGUCAUUGCAGUGCCUUCAUCACAACUAGCCAAGCCCAUCUUACCAUAUCACCUAUAGUCCACCGCUCCAGACUUCAUUCCCUGCUAACAGCUUAUGCAGUACAUUAAAAUACAGAUAGGACAAGUCGUGCAGGUGUUGUUGACUUCACACCAAACGAAUACCCACGUGGUUGCCUCGUGUGCUUAUCCCUCUACCAAUUGCUACCACGUACGUCCCUGCUCUGCAUACCUGUGGUUCAUGUAUAGGGCGCAGCUUCAUAUGAACCUUUCUUUCCAAGGAGAUUUAAACACCACAACAACUAUUAUGCCACCAUGAUUCUAUACCACACAUCUCAUCUGUUACAAUGCCACAUCGUUAUGGGGUAUGUUCUGCAGAAGAUAGAGUCCCCCAAGUUUUGUUUGCCAUUUAGGGAUAUCCACGUUGAAGGACAUGGGUAUAAUCCCACCAUCAUGAUUACCAAAGAUAUUUACAAUAUCUUACUUCAACUCUCAGUGCUGACAAGCGGUGGACAUGAUUCCAGGACAUCCUGUGAUUUUCUUUACGCCGCUGUUCCAGAAUAGGACCNNN